GAGCUGGGUGGAGCUUAAGAGGAAUUAAACUUUCGCCCUGCGUCUCGUCCAGCCUAGGUUCCACCCUUUUCUGGCAACCUGAGUAUCAACCUAUUUCACACCCCGCUACUCCUGAGUGCCACACACCGGCUUCCUCCCAGUCCCUCAUCUGAGAACUCAUGAAGCCACCUGGAAUCCCUUUCUGCUUUGCCUGGCUCAUUCCAUCUCAAUUUCAGAUCUUCGCUACAGGUCAGCUCCAAGGAGGAGCUCUCAAAACCUAGCUCUCAAAACCUAGCUCUUUUCCUUCAGAGCACUGGCCUCCAAUU
rnacentral:antisense_RNA from 1 species